UACGGAGGGUGCAAGCGCUAUCCGGAAUCACUGGGUUUAAAGGGUGCGUAGGCGGCUUGGUAAGUCAGAGGUGAAAGCCCGCAGCUUAACUGCGGAACUACCUUUGAUACUGCCGAGCUUGAAAGAGGUUGAGGUCAGCGGAACGUGACAUGUAGCGGUGAAAUGCAUAGAUAUGUCACAGAACACCAAUUGCGAAGGCAGCUGGCUGGGCCGACUUUGACGCUGAGGCACGAAAGCGUGGGGAGCGAACAGG
rnacentral:rRNA from 1 species